GCAGACGGGGCGCGACGCUGCAGCGGCUCCGGGCCAUCGCUGCGGGGCUGGCAUGGUAUCUGCGGAGGCAUGUACAGUUUCGCUGAGUGAGCACUGGCAGGAUGAGGUCCUGGCGCCCUGCAGCCUUCCUCACCGGCGCCGCCAGGCGGGUCCCCGAGGAGCCCGCUUCCCUCCCCAAGCUCCGCGGGCUGGGCCCAGGCCUGUCGAGCUGCCAGGACGCGUUGCUGUAGCGAUGGCCUUGGGGACCCCUGGGUUGUCAGGUUGGCAUAUAUACUGAAAAUGCCCAUUAGUUCAAGCCAACUACAAAAUUGUGAAGCCUCCAGAAUUGUGAUGAAUUGCCCAGUGUGCGAUAGCCUGUGAAAGCACAGAAGCAAACAGGACGAGAUGGUCUGUGAAACCAGUUGUGACUAAGAAGCCAACAUCAUUGAAGUGAAAUCUUCUGGAGAGUAUUUUCUCAAGGUCAGCACACAGAAGCUGUGGUCCAGAGGGGAGCAAUGAAGCAUCUCAUGUUAGCAGCCAAACUUUGUAAUGGAACCCUUGGAAAGGUGGGAGCAUAUCAGAGCUGGACUCCCACAGUCUCCCACAGACAAGUUAAUACAGAGAUUCACAGCUGACUGACAUGCAAAGGAUAUCUGAUUAUGGAAUGUUUAUCCCCCAAAGGAACAUUUAUGUUACCCCAACCUCACCACCAAGGCUUAGGGACCAUCAAGGAAGCAGAGGUGGAAAUUGCACUCACCAGAAGUUGGGAAUCAGGGGACUGCAGUGAAAUUGUCUGUGGACAUGCCGAGGGUGGUGCACUCAUGAACUCACUGAAACUAUUGCUACCUGCACAAGUACCACAUAAGAUUGAGCCUGUUGAUAUAUCAUCAGGGAAGAGGGAACAGCUCUUGAGUUCUCGUCCCUCCCUGAAGGAUUAUUGACAGUGGUGACUGGGGGAAGAACGUCACUUUCUUCAAUGAUAUGACUACAGAUAAGCUGUUCAUGCUCCAGUAGAUAGUAUCUCACCAUGCUCAGCUAGGAAACCCACAUCAAAAAAAAAAAAAAAGAUGAAGUAGAAGGAGGAUUGUGGGGAAGAAGAGGGGUUCCAGCAGGAGAAGAGGUGGGUAUGAGAUGUCAACAGGAGGUAACUGGGACUAAAAUUCAGAAUAUACAUAUAUGAGACUGUCAAAGAAUGAAAAAUAAAUGACAUCUAUGGAAAAGACAAUAAAAACCAUUGCUCCUGGCCUCUGGAUCAGGGACUGUAUCUCAAGGACUAUGCUUUGAAUUCUCAUUCCAUCCCUAGGAAGUAUGAGAAAGAGUACAGUCUUCCUGGCUAUGAAGCCUUAUUUCUCCUUAGCUAUUUUCUUCCCAUAUUGACUAGAUAAAACAAAAUUUCUGUAGCUAUAAUGAAUGUGGCCUGUCAUUAAUGCCCAAUAAAAUUAUUGGACAAAUCAGUUAGAUAAUUGGUCAUGUGGCCUAGUUAUCAUUAACUGUCAACUCGACACAGCCUAGAAAUCACCUGAAAAGGCAGGCUUGAUUGAGAAUUGUGUCACCAGCUUGGUCUGUGAGCAUGCCUCUGAGGGGUUGUCGUGUUAUAAUUGAUGUAGGAGGGUUCAGCCCACUGUGAGUGGUGCUAUUUCCUGGGUAGAUGGUUCUGGGCUGUAUAAGGAAGUUAGCUGAGGGCACUGAAAAUUACUCUCCCAAGCCAUUCCUCUGUGGUUCCUAUCUCCAGGUUCCUGCCCUGACUUCCCUCGGUGAUGGCUAAUGGCCUGGAUUCACAAGCCAUAUAAAAUCUCUCCUCCCCAAGUUACUUUUUGUCAAUAUUUUCAUGAUAGCAACAGAAGGAAACAGGAACAUCGUGCAAGUAGAAGCGUCAUGGGUCCGGACUUCUGCUUAAAGUGCCCGUAUAAGUUCUCCUCACACCUUUGCUGUGGGAGCCCACAACUGACUCAGUUUCCCAGUUUGAAUCUGAAGUCUAUUCUGAGUCAAUAGAGUUCAGGCUUGCUUGUUCCAGGACCAUAAGAAAGUCCUGAUUAGCCUAUGGGAAGGAACAUACUAUCUAGCUAGACUCAGGCUGCUGAUGCCUGCUGGAGGUACAUUGAGAUAGAAAAUGAAACUGCCUGCUCCUUGACUCAAGGACAGGAUAGAUAGUGGUUGAAUGCCUGUGCUGUGCAUUGUUCUGCUUCUGUCCUUCAAGACUGUAUACAAGCUGGCUGUGAAAUAAACUCAGGGCUGUUCAGCACUGACUGGCAGUCCUCUGGACUCUU